AUCCACUUAUUCCUGUACAUACACUAAAAUUGGAACUAUACAGAGAAGAUUAGCACGGCUCCUGCUCA
rnacentral:snRNA from 1 species